GUUCUGGUUUUGAAUUCAGGCUGCAAGGUAAGGAUGCUACCAGGGAAUAUUUAUGUAGGAUUUUGGUAGAAUAAUGAUGUUGGUAGAUUGUAGAAGAUACAGAGCCACUUGUCAUCAGAAAGGUGCUCUCUCAGCAGAACGGAAAGUAUUUAACUGGUUAGGACAGCUCAUGAGGCUAUUAUCCAGAUACCUGUUGGUACCUCUUACAGCUCAUGAGGUGUCCUAAGUUUAUUGUUCAAUUAGCUUUUUGCUUUACGGUCAGGGACAGUAUGAGUGUAGCCAGAUCCUUUUCACUCUCUAUCCUUGUUUCAUUUUGUGGUUCACCGGAUUCGUCAUCAUCAUCGAGACAAACGACAGACAAACGUCCUGCUAGCUAGCCAAGCUAGUCGGUACAGCGAGCUCAUUGUUCUGCGUCACAAUGUCAACUUCUCUACUGUUAUCAAUGAGACCUGUCUGCAUCAACCAUGAACGCUGAUCGCAGUCCAAUCAAGCAGGAGAGACCAGCCUCCCCUGUUCCCAGCUGUGUGUCCAUGAAGAGUGACCGGUCUAUGCGUCUACCUAUAGAGUUUAG